AGAUUGAACGCUGGCGGCAUGCCUAACACAUGCAAGUCGAACGGGAGUAGCAAUACUCUAGUGGCGGACGGGUGAGGAAUACGUAGGAAUUUGCCCUUAAGUGGGGGAUAACCCGGGGAACCCGGAUUAAUACCGCAUGACCUCGAAAGAGCAAAGUGGGGGAUCGCAAGACCUCACGCUUUUGGAGAAGCCUACGUCGGAUUAGCUAGUUGGUGAGGUAAUGGCUCACCAAGGCGACGAUCCGUAACUGGUC
rnacentral:rRNA from 1 species